rnacentral:lncRNA from 1 species
CUUAGUAAUUGAGUUACGUAAAAUUUAUUUUCUUUCUAUAUAAAUUUCAUGCUCGCAAUCAAAUGCAAUCUUAAUUUUUCUCUCGUCUCUUUCAAGAUAGUGCAAGAAAUGGUUAUGGGGCAAAAGCACAGGAAGUUUUGGGCCAGGUUAAAGGAAGGUAUGCCUUUCCAUUUUCAGAGGCGGAUGUAAGGGGAAUAGCCCAGGCCUUCCCCAAGCCAAUUUUACAAUUCGCUUAAUAUAUUCUUAUUAUUUUUAUUAGUUCCACUUUAAACUCCAGUCCAAAUUUAAAUUGUUUCACCCAGUCCCCAGCCUAGUGUCUAAUUGCACAUUUAACCCAUAGUGUAUAACUCGUCCUCCAAUUGCAUACAUUUCAUUUUUAAUUUCAACUUUGUCCCUAAAUUCAAUUUCUAAUUUCACUACCAUAUUCCCCACCCAUGUUCAAUUUCAAUUUCCGAAUUCGAAGUCCUAUUUAUUGUUCACAUUCCAAGUACUAACAUUUACGGAAUAUUUUUUAUUUUAUUUCAUAGUUUAUGUUUAUUUUUAGUUUUUUGCUUCAAAAUCAAUAGUAUAUUUUUAUGUUAAAUUCUUUUGGUUGAUCUAAUUUCAUGAUACUAAGUGCUACGAUGGUUCGCUUGAGCCUUGACACUUUAGUGGGUAAUGUCAUAUAGUUUUUUUUUUAAAAUUAUAUAUGAAUUUUAUUAGUAUAUUAAUUCUUUUAAAAAUUUCAGCCCAACCCAAAGUAAAAUCCUGGCUUUUCUACUGUCCAUGUUACAUUUGAAUCACUGCAUAAUUUGUAAGUAAUUGGAAACAUGAACCUUUGGAAGGAAGGGACAUUCCUCAGAACAAAAGGAUAAUAAACUCUUUAACAUACUAGGUGGAAGAAUGUACUCUAGGAAUAAGUAGAAGCUGAACUUAUACAGCCUUUUUAAAAGAAUAUUUGCUGGUGAUCCCAUGUGAGGAUGAUAUGAAAACCAUGGUCUAAGCAUGCAUAGAUGGGAUAAUUUGACAAUAUACUCCGUAAAUGUUAGUCUUAUUCUUCAAUAAGCUUGCAUUUGCAUGUUCUCUAAAAAAUUAAUGUCAUAUUCGUCGCUUUGUAGCGUCGACUUUUUUCUCACUUUAUCGUGCUCGAGGAAAUCUUAAGUGAAAAUAAUUCUCCUUCAAGGAUAGUGGGUAGGAUGUUCUCCUUUUAUCAUCAUAGUGUCCAUUCAUCUUUCACAAUGGGAGCCUGUUUGGUACAUCAUAAUUGCGGUUUUGUUCUUGUCCUAUAACCCAAAACAGAAGACGAUUUGCCUUUUUGCCUCUCAUCUUACAGGGAUUUCCGGCAUGAAAAAACCACGAAGCGUGGUAACUGUUCACGGAAUAAUU